GACGAACCGUGCGAACGUUGUUCGGAAUCACUGGGCGUAAAGAGCUCGUAGGCGGCUUGUCACGUCGGGUGUGAAAGCCCGGGGCUUAACCCCGGGUCUGCAUUCGAUACGGGCUAGCUAGAGUGUGGUAGGGGAGAUCGGAAUUCCUGGUGUAGCGGUGAAAUGCGCAGAUAUCAGGAGGAACACCGGUGGCGAAGGCGGAUCUCUGGGCCAUUACUGACGCUGAGGAGCGAAAGCGUGGGGAGCGAACAGG
rnacentral:rRNA from 1 species